rnacentral:sRNA from 1 species
AGCGCGCAGGCGCGGCCGGAUUCCGGGCAGUGACGCGACGGCGGGCGCGCGCGGCGCAUUUCCGCCUCUGGCGAAUGGCUCGUCUGUAGUGCACGCCGCGGGCCCAGCUGCGACCCCGGCCCCGCCCCCGGGACCCCGGCCAUGGACGAACUGUUCCCCCUCAUCUUCCCGGCAGAGCCAGCCCAGGCCUCUGGCCCCUAUGUGGAGAUCAUUGAGCAGCCCAAGCAGCGGGGCAUGCGCUUCCGCUACAAGUGCGAGGGGCGCUCCGCGGGCAGCAUCCCAGGCGAGAGGAGCACAGAUACCACCAAGACCCACCCCACCAUCAAGAUCAAUGGCUACACAGGACCAGGGACAGUGCGCAUCUCCCUGGUCACCAAGGACCCUCCUCACCGGCCUCACCCCCACGAGCUUGUAGGAAAGGACUGCCGGGAUGGCUUCUAUGAGGCUGAGCUCUGCCCGGACCGCUGCAUCCACAGGUGAGGUCCCUGCAGGCUAGGAGGCCCAGCAUGAGGGGACAGGAGGUGGGCUAUGAAGUAGCCGCUACAGUGUUACUCCUUUCUGGAUACAGGGCAGAAUUCCUCACUCCUUGCCCUGACUCAGCUCUGCAAGUAAACUGCCUUUGUCUUGAAAUUAUCUAUUUGUACGUUUACUCUAGCAGAUGAGUUCCAGGGGAUACGGAUGGGUCCCUAAUCACUUCUGAAUUCCUGACCCCUGUAGCUGGAAGGACAAGUCCCUCAGAGUCACGUCUCUUGUUU